GGCUAUGUAGCUCAGCUGGUUAGAGCACGGCACUCAUAACGCCGNGGUCGGUAGUUCAAGUCUACCCAUAGCCACCA
rnacentral:tRNA from 1 species